ensembl:lncRNA
CAAAAUUUGUAUACAUGAACAUGUUAAAAAAACGUUAAGACAAAGUCCGAACAAACAAGAUUUUAUUUCUUAUAUUUUAUUUGGUUCAACUCGAUCUAAGUUUUGUUACUCUAUUGAUAAUAAUCUUUAUGAACUAGAUAAAAAAAAAAUAAAAGGGAGAAGACAUUAUAUAUACGACAUGGAACAGAAAAAAAAAAAUAAUAUAACUACACAAAAUAUAGCUACAACAUCAUUUACACAAACAAGUAAAUCAGAACACAAAAAUUGUGACAUACCGUAUGAAAUAUAUUCGAAAGUUAUGUCAGAGUUAACCACGUUAGUACAAAACGGUUUUAAUACACCCCAAAAUAUACUUGAACAUUGUCGUGUUGGUAAAUGUAAGCUGGAACAAGGAGGUGUAGUUACAAGUGGAGAUAAUGAAACGAAUGACGGUGCUAACCACAAUGGGUUUGAUAUGAGUAUAAUUGCAGAUGAAGAUACGGAUAAAUGUACCGAAACAGGUUUUACAACAAGUUAUGAAAUAGGUGCCAAUACAAGUGCUACAUCAUGUGUCGAUAAAAAUCAUGUGAAUAACAUGACACAAGAAAAACACCCAAAUCAGCAUAAAAUUCACCAUUUUUACAACAGCACGCAUAACAAGGAUGUAAAUAAAAAACAGAAAGUUGAUGAAACGAAUACAAUUAUGAAUGAAAAAAAAUUAAAAUAUAAUGACUAUUAUAUUGAUAAUGAGAAUUUAGAAGAUCAUAUACUGCUGCAUAUAAUUCGAAGUAUGUAAUGUGUGAAAGCUUGCGUUCAUUAUUAGUAGUAAUAAAAAAGUUUUUUCUUAUGAUUAAUUUAGCCUGUCAUACAAAAUUGAAAACGAAACCUAGCAGUACUUAUAUUUUUUAUAAUGUUAUACAACAAAAACACAUGCUCUCGAUUAUAAGAUGUUUAACAAAAUGUAUGAUGAAUGUGCCAUUAGUUUGUAAACCCAUACAAGAAAAUGUUUGGAUGGGAGGAAAGGAAGAAACUGGAAAAAACAUUUAUUCUACUUUAUCAGAUUACAUAACAGUUGAUAAGCUUGAAUAUUUGAAAAGUUUAGAAGCAAGUUCAGUUGGAAUGCAAUUUCCAGGUAGAGAACAUCAUACUGUAAUAAAUGAAACCAGCAAUUGUUGCAAAGGGACUGACAUGUACUUUUCAAUACAACCUCCUUCCGAAGAUACUAAAGAGGAAUAUUUUAUCAAAUUGUGUACUUGUAUGUAUUCUAACGGUUCUUAUUCAACUAGUGACGAUAAUAAUGUAUUUGAUAACGGACCUAAUGACGGAUUUAAUAACGGAUUUAAUGACAGAUUUAAUGACAGAUUUAAUGACAGAUUUAAUGACAAAUUUAAUGACAGAUUUAAUGACAGAUUUAAUGACAGAUUUAAUAACGGACCUAUUAAUAAUUGUAGUAGUAGUAGUAAUUACAUACAUAGUACCACAGAUUGGACCACACACGGUACCACAUAUGUCAGCGCAUGUGAUCACGACAAAAACGACCACAUAAGUGAUACUCUACAAGCCUAUGAAAACAAAAAACAAUAUCAACCCAAUUCUUACUCUAACAAAUGUGCUUGUUUAGAUACAAAAAAUUUAUAUGAUUAUUUAUACACGCCUUACGCAUCUCAUCGAAUUGAAAAAAAUGAUAAACACUUUCCUGAGUGUUUUUAUAUGUCUGAAAUAUUAACAAAAAAAUACAAUUUUAACUUUAAUAACGUAAAGAUAUUAACAAACAAACAGGCUAAUGACUUGAAAAAAAAUAUUAUAGCAAAGUAUGUAAAUGAAAAGUGCAUGAAUGGAAAAGCCAAAAACAACGACGAGUGCGUACAUAAUAAGGACAAUUAUGUAAAAACAAACAAUAACAUACAAAACGAAACAAAAAAAUGUUUUUAUUUACAUCCAAAUGAACAAUAUGUUUUUAAAAAUGGUUUGAUUCCAAAUAGUGAUAAUAAUAUAUCGAAUGGUGAUGAUAUGAUAUAUACUAACUUAGAAAAAUAUAAUAAAUGUUUUAUAGGCACAAGUGUUAAGACUGCAAAUAAUAUGUAUUAUAUUUUAGAUAAACCAAUUAUGUAUGAGUGUUUGAAACUCCAAAAAAAGGGUAUCUUAAAAGAUAAAAUUAAUAUGGAAGGAAAGGAAAACAAAAUGAUUACGUGUAUUUUGGAUAAUGGUGCUAAAAAAAAUAGUAUUGACACUUAUAUUUCUAUGUCUGAUUAUGGUGUUAAUGAAUUAAUUCGUAAUCAAUGUAACACACAAUUUACAAAACACACACAUACAAAGGAUACAGAUACUGUUGAUGAUAUACAUUUUAAGCCCAGUAAUGAUUUUAACAAACAUGGUAACACACACAACAACAUACAACAUAAUACCAAUCCGAAAGUGUCUAAUUAUAGUGAAAAAAACAAAGAAGUUAAAAACUCUUCUCAAAAAAAAAUACUAAAAAGAGUACAUA